rnacentral:rRNA from 1 species
AGAAUCAACGCUGGCGGCGUGCCUAACACAUGCAAGUCGAACGAGAAAGUGGAGCAAUCCACGAGUAAAGUGGCGCACGGGUGAGUAACACGUGACUAACCUACCCUUGAGUGGGGGAUAACCUAGGGAAACCUGGGCUAAUACCGCAUAAUACCUACGGGUCAAAGGAGCAAUUCGCUUAAGCGAGGGGGUCACGGCCGAUUAGUUAGUUGGCGGGGUAAUGGCCCACCAAGACGAUGAUCGGUAU